AUAAUCAAUAUCAAUUAAACAAAAAUUAUAGGGCUCAACUACUCAACUCAAAUAGUCAAAUAUCCGGUCACAACUUCAGUUUCUAGAGGAAAAAUUCCCAAAUCGGCUAAUUAAAACCAAUCUUCAGUUUCUAAUCGGCUAAUCAUAUUAAAAUAAAUCGUUUGGGACUUAAAAAUUAUAAUGAAGACAAUUAGACAAAACUAUAACUAAACACAGUCAAAAGACUCAAAACCAAUCUUCAAUUUCUACUUUUUUAGACGAAAUUGUUUAGUUUAAGCAAACAAAAUGAUUAUACAGAUAGCAAGUACUUUAUUUGAGCACAAAUUCCACAUAAAUUAAGCUAAUUAAACUUCAAAACAAUCCUUAUUCACACAAAAAUCAGCUAAUCCUGACUACCCAUUAGUAGAUAACAAAACCCCUUCAACUUUCCGAGCAAAAACUGGCACAAAACACAAAUUUAAACAAAAAUGACAUAAUUAAAUCAACUAUAGAAAACCUACAUCAAAAAUCCCCAAAUCGUAAAUUAAAUUAGGCAAUUAGCAAAUGAAAAACACACAUGAAGCCAAACACAUUCAAAAUUCUAGCUACUUUGCAUAUCUAUAAGCACAAAUCGAACCUCACCAGUCACCAUCGCUACUCUCCACCACCACCAACAGUUACAAAUCGAAACCCUAGAAAUCGAAAAAAAAUCAAAGAUUUGAACUAGUAAUUAUGCAAAGAAACCUUAAAUUUGAAAUUUAAAGGGGAAAGUUUAAAGAAGCUCAUACCAUGAACACCAAAAAAAUCCUAGAAAUCAAACCACACAGUCGUUAUCUCUCACGACCACCAUGAGGCAUUAGUGAAUGAGGAGGGAGAAUGAAAGGGGAACGCGAAAUGUGGUUGCAGCUGCGGCGAGGAGAAGGUGAAAGGGGAACAGGCUGAAGUUAGAAUUUUUUAUUUUUUAUUUUUAUUAUUUUUUUUUU